rnacentral:lncRNA from 1 species
UUAACCUCUACUGGGCAACUCUGAUGGGAUGCGGGAGGCAACGUUUAGUCAUAACCUUCUUGUUGUUCAAGAUCUAGAUCUUGAUUUUGCUAACCUGAAAUGGUUAAAUAAGGGAGAUAAGCUACAGUAGCCCAGUAAGAAUGUCAACAUUUAACACUGGUACAGAAAAUCAAAUGUUGGUAAAAAUUGUAAAACAUCCUAUGGAGCCAUUAUCU